GCCGAAGUGGCGAAAUUGGUAGACGCGCUGCGUUCAGGGCGCAGUGGGGCUUGCCCCCGUGGAGGUUCGAGUCCUCUCUUCGGCACCA
rnacentral:tRNA from 1 species